UGUGGGAACAAGGUGACAGAAACUUUCAAAAUCGCACUUUUAGGCACAUUUUGCAUUUGCUUUUAGGGAAAUGAUGUACAGCCAUGCACUCUCCCCACCAACGAUUAUCAAAACAAACACCUAACCAUUGUCUUCAAUUUUGCGGGGGAGUGAAACAAAUGCGAAUCAAUCGAGUACGAGGGAAAAAGUUUUGCGAGCGUUUCGCAAAUAUUUAACCUCACAUAUUGGACUAGAGCGGGAGCGCGGGAGAAAAAGAUGGGGGAGAGAGAGUGAGUGAGAGAGAGAGAGAGCAGGAUAGCGAAUGAGAGCAGAGGCAAGACUAGCAAGACAACAAUGUGGGAAAGGGGGGGAAAGUGGACACUUGGACGUUAAAAGAACAAGAAGCAGCCGCCGAAGGUAGCGUGAAGGUACUGCCAAAACAUGAUUUUUCGUUGCAGGACGAGUGCUUAAACCCAGCGGAGCAGAUCCUGACGUAGGUGCUGCGGACCUGCUUCAUGACCUGGAGUCGUGGGCAAACUUUACUCACAAGCCAAGGGACCUCAAUGUUUGCGGACGCCAAUGGCGCUACAGGAAACUGCUACCUGAAAACGUUAACGUCGUUCGCCGGAAGGAGACAUAAGAAAGUUCAUGUACACCUAUAACAUGGAAUACAUGCUGUGUAAUUCCAAAUCCAACAUCGAGCACGCAUUUAUGUUUAAAUUUGCAGCUCAAAUCCAUGGACGGCAACAUUAUGUCCUGUUCAAAUCGUCAAUCGUUUUCUCAACUCAGAGUUAUUAUAAUUGAGUGUUUUGUGACAUUUUUAGUAGCAGCGGAUCACCUAUAAUUUCUAAUGCGAUUUCCCAUAGAUACUUGUUGCUCUGAAAUGGUUAAAAUGUGGCGAGAUGAUGGUGAAACCCAUGAAAUGCUAUAAAGCGCUUGGCUCACAGCCGCAAAGCACAGGCCAGUAAAUGAAACCCUAAUAACUCCCUUUAUUACUUUUAUUAAAUACAAUAAGCGCUAUUUGUUCCUGCUACAGCAAUUAUGACUAAUGCAUUUUAUUAUGAUGUUUAUCUGUUUUUUUCUUCUUUUUUUGCGGAAUUCACCCUUUUAUGUAAGUAAGGUAAGUCUCGAUGUCAUAAUGAGUCCGUGAUGUUUGAAUGCGUUUCCUCAGUAAUGACCACGGCUAACAUCCUCUCCAAGAAUGCAAGGUGUAAAAACACUCCCCCCUCCCCAGAGAUGUGAGUGGCAGUUCCCUCACAUUAGGUAAGAGGGCAGGUGGAAAAGUCCCCCCCCCCCCCAGUAGUCUACAUCACUUAUUCAUGGCUUCCCAUAGCACAGUCCUGACCCCUUUGUUACGCAUCCAUGUUCUUGCUGAGUGAGACCCAGAAAGUGCUUAUAGAAAGCGACACCAGCUCGCUCCUGGAAGCUCACUAGAUGCUAGAACAUUCCGUUUCGACUUCCCUUUAACAGGGAGUAGGAGUUUUACCUCUGUGCCAUCCGUAUAUCUCUGUUACUCACACUAUAGGCUUCCCGGAGAGGGGGCAGGCGGCUUCCACAGGUACUGUUGUCUGCCUGCACGGAUGUGCCCCACGCGGCACGCGGGUAUAUUUGGCGUCUUGUCCUUGACCUCACACAUCUAAAUGGGUUAAAGUGGCGCGUGGGAACGCUCCACAAAACAGGGCCACAACUGUCUCCGAAUCAUCGGGAAAUUAUAGCCCGGAUACUUCCAGUUGUAUCCCAGACUCCCAACCUCCUUCAAUUCUUAAUUAAUUAAUGUCAUUAUUACAUCAUUAAUACAACUACUGCUACUACUACUAAUACCUAAUAAUAACAUAUUUAAAGGCUUCCAUUACAGUUACCCUGACACCUUUCCCUCUUAGUGAUACUGCGGUAGAUAUAUGUCUCUUGUUUUACUACUUUUUCCAUCGUACUAUAUUCUCCCCGGUUCCUCCGUAGGCAGCCUCUGCCUCCCCCCCCCCCCCCCGGGGAAGCUGCUCCCGGCCGCCUCCUGAUUUGCUUCGUAAAAGCAGAACCGAAUGAUGGAUUACUGUGUCAUUGCCGGCCCGCCAAGGAUUAAUUUGUUUCAUUGAUUUCUCUUUAGGCGGAGCGCCAGCGGUUGCAGCUUCCUACCCCCAAUCCCCCUUAUUUAUUUAUUUACGGGAGACUUCCAGACGUGAUGGAAAGUAAUAGCAGGAGACAAAUCAAGCGGCUCUCGUAAAAUCGGCAGCAAACAAUCCUGGCCGUUGCGGGCAGACCCCCAGCCGGUGGCUGCGCCCUCGCCCCCCUCCCUUAGGAUGGCGUUAACGCGGGAUAAAAUGGAGCAGCGAGCCGCAGAGCACCGGCCGCUCUCUGCCAAACGCAUCUGCGCUCCCCCCGCGAUCAUGCACUUUAGUCGUCGUUCUCUUUCUACUCCGCCUAGUUACAUUUGCCCUAGGUUUGGCGAAAGAGGGUAUUUCGAGGAUUCCGGCGUUACUUUCAAAGGCAUUCAGUACGUAUGUGAUGUAAUGAGUGUGGGAUUUCAUGACCCUUGUGUAAACAUCAUGUCCUGUCGGAAAGCAUCUCUUUGCUGUGACAGAUACAUGCAGCUGAACGAAAUUUAACUUUUCACAAACGCACUUUUGUGUUCCAGUCAGCAUACAGCACAAUAAAUGCUUUGGAAAGUGA